rnacentral:rRNA from 1 species
AGAGUUUGAUCAUGGCUCAGAACGAACGUUAGCGGCGCGCCUAACACAUGCAAGUCGCACGAGAAAGGGCUUCGGCCCCGGUAAAGUGGCGCACGGGUGAGUAACACGUGGGUAAUCUGCCCUCGAGCAGGGGAUAACGGUCCGAAAGGACCGCUAAUACCGUAUAAGACCACGACCCCGAAAGGGGAUGCGGUCAAAGCUGGCCUCUAUUCAUAAGCUAGCACUUGAGGAUGAGCCCGCGGCGCAUCAGGUAGUUGGUGAGGUAAUGGCUCACCAAGCCUAAGACGCGUAGCUGGUCUGAGAGGAUGAUCAGCCACACUGGAACUGAGACACGGUCCAGACUCCUACGGGAGGCAGCAGUGGGGAAUCUUGCGCAAUGGGCGAAAGCCUGACGCAGCGACGCCGCGUGAGUGAUGAAGGCCUUCGGGUUGUAAAGCUCUGUGGGGAGAGACGAAUAAGUGCAGCCUAAUACGUUGCAUGAUGACGGUAUCUCCUUAGCAAGCACCGGCUAACUCUGUGCCAGCAGCCGCGGUAAGACAGAGGGUGCAAACGUUGUUCGGAAUUACUGGGCGUAAAGCGAGUGUAGGCGGUCUCGUAAGUCGGGUGUGAAAGCCCUGGGCUCAACCCAGGAAGUGCACUCGAAACUGCGAGGCUAGAGUACUGGAGAGGUUGGUGGAAUUCUCGGUGUAGAGGUGAAAUUCGUAGAUAUCGAGAGGAACACCGGUGGCGAAGGCGGCCAACUGGACAGAUACUGACGCUGAGACUCGAAAGCGUGGGGAGCAAACAGGAUUAGAUACCCUAGUAGUCC